UACCAUAUUUAAUAAUCUGAAAUUCAAAUUAUGGAAUUAUAAUUUUUCAAUUAAUUUCUUUAAUUACAGAAUUAUGAACAAGAGAAUGUCCAUGUAAUGGCCAUUGAUGUGGAUGAAAAGGGGAUUGUUACACAGUCUAUCAGCAAUCUUGUCAAUUUGAUUGAAAGGGUGCGAGAAACUCCAAUAUUAUGGGACUACAGAAUACCUUUAAAGGAAAAAGUGUGUCGAAGGUUACUGAGGAGUGGCAUAGAAUUUUCAAAUAUUUUGCAGGUUGAACUGGCGAGCUAACAAAGAUACGCUUUUCAAAUUUAAAAACGUCCUUAACGAGGAGACAAAAUACAUACUUGCCAAGUGGUUCAGGUUCUCAUAGCCAUAAACCAUAGGAUCUAGAACCAUAUUUAAGUUUUCUAAAUGACACUAAAUGUGUUGAUUCUAGAGCUACAUCUUCCAAUGUGCCUUCAAUCCCAAAAAGAAAAUACGUGGAGGAUUUAAACGAUUCAUCACAAGAAUAUUUUUCUUGUGAAGAGGUUCCCGCAGAUGUU